rnacentral:rRNA from 1 species
CAGGUCAGGCGGGGCUACCCGCUG